rnacentral:lncRNA from 1 species
UAUUAAAAGUAUUCUUAAAGACACAUUCUUGGCACUACGGUCAGAUGAUUUGUUAUCAAGAUGCCUGGAUGGCGCAACACAAAAUCCAAAUGAGGCUUUCAACCAGAUAAUCUGGAAAAAGUGUCCAAAAAAUAUUUUUGUUACUAAAAAGCUCUUGCCUGGAAGUUUUAUGAUCCAAGGAUCGUGGAAGAAGGACGUAUCAAGAGUAAAGAACACGAUUAAAAAUUCAACUCCAAAGCAAAAAAGGGCUAGAAGGAAAAGGAGAUGUAUCAGGAAGGGUUAUAUUGAUAAGGAGAAAGAAAAAGAGGGAGUAGACUCUUAUAUUACAGGAAAUUUUUAAUUAAUAAAUUGUUUUUAAACUUUGAA